CCUCGUUCCUAUUUUGUUGGUUUUCGGGAGCUUGGUAAUGAUUAAUAGGGAUGGUUGGGGGCAUUGAUAUUUAAUUGUCAGAGGUGAAAUUCUUGGAUUUAUGAAAGAUCAACUACUGCGAAAGCAUCUGUCAAGGAUGUUUUCAUUAAUCAAGAACGAAAGUUAGGGGAUCGAAGACGAUCAGAUACCGUCGUAGUCUUAACCAUAAACGAUGCCGACCAGGGAUCGGGGGACGUUAUCUCUUACGACUCUCCCAGCACCUUGUGAGAAAUCAUAAGUCUUUGGGUUCCGGGGGGAGUAUGGUCGCAAGGCUGAAACUUAAAGGAAUUGACGGAAGGGCACCACCAGGAGUGGAGCCUGCGGCUUAAUUUGACUCAACACGGGGAAACUCACCAGGUCCAGA
rnacentral:rRNA from 1 species